rnacentral:lncRNA from 1 species
CUGUCCUGAACCUUCCUUCUCAGUUUAUUUAUUUAUUUUCUCCCAUUCUAGAACAGCCAGCAAAUGAUUUCACACCUUUUUGUUUAGCUGCUAAAAGCAACACAAUAACUCCCCUCAGGGCUGCCUCUGUGGGUUCCAAAAAUAAAAUGGGCUCAUUUUCAUGCUAAGUGUGCAGAGACUCACAGGGAUUCUAAUGAAAGGCAAAGGAAAGAAAGAAAGAAGGAAAAAAGAGGGAUCAGGUUGGGAGAUGUCACUGAGGGGGAGUCAGCUUCUACCUAGAGUUACCAGCCACCACUCCCUGCCCCCACCAGAAGGGACAGUCACAACAGAUCGUUCUGCCACAAAUUAAAAGGCGAUCUAAUUCAACCCUUAAACUCUCCAGCCUUAUCUUCUGUUCCUAAACCCAGGGUUAUUUUUGGAACACAGGCUGAGUUCCUGUCCUGGCGCAGCAGAAACGAAUUCGACUGGGAACCAUGAGGUGGAGUGAGGGUUCCAUCCCUGGCCUCGCUCAGUGGGUUAAGGAUCUGGCGUUGCCGUGAGCUGUGGUGUAGGUCAAGACUCAGCUCAGAUCUGGGGUUGCUGUGACUGUGGUGCAGGCCAGCAGCAACAGUUCUGAUUAGACCCCUAGCCUGGGAACCUCCAUAUGCCACAGAUAUGGCCCUAAAAACACAAAAAGACAAAAUAAAUAAAUAAAUAAAAACAUCUUAAAAAAAGAACACUAUGUGAUACAAAUCCUACACAUUAGGCGCCUGAAAUUAGGCCAGCCUGGAAUUCGUGAAAAGCUUUCCACGAGACCUUGCCAGAAAGUGUGUGUGCUCCCCACCUGUAAUGAGAGGAACAUCGCCAACUGGUGGUCUGCCUGCCUGAAAGUUAAGCCUCCAGUGACAGCCCCUGCUUGUUGUAUUUCCAAGCAGACCUUUGCUUUUCGAUGAGGGCCGAUUGGGUGUUUGGAUGAGGGCAGAUUCCCUCUAUUUUAGGAGCUAAAAUCUGCCUCCCACUUGCUUCUGCUCAUCACUUCUAGAUUUGUCCCAGGGCUCCUGCAGCCCAGAAUCUUUUCAGGAGAAACUUUCAAGUAUUUGAUGACAAUGGCCAAGACUUGCAUCCUCUUCCCCUUCAGUUAGGCCUUCCCACCUCUUCUUCUAACACAGUUUCCAGUUGCUUCCCUAGGAUUGAUGCAAUUUGUCCAGUGUCCCUUUCACAGCACAGCCUCAGAAAUGGAAGGAAUAACUCCCUGAGCUGAAGAACAUGCAGUUCACGCAGGCUGUGCUCACCUAAACCAUUUCUUUCAGCAGAUGUGUUAUGCUGUGGAAUCAUAUUCCUUUUCAAGAUCUGUGAAAUAAAGAUGUGCUAAGCCAACUGUAAAUGGGAUUGCUCAGAAAACCUAAAUGCUACGGAAAAGAACACAGUUUUUAAGUAGUAUUUUUAAAGGAUCUGCUUACAGAUUCUUGACAUGCAAAUUAUGUCCUUAUUUUUUUCACUAAAGCAGAGACCCAAAGUGUCUUCACUUGGGCAACCUAAAAGAAUGACUGUAUCUUGAGUAUUUGCAACUUUCCUAAUUAUAUUUCUUUAAAAUUAUUCUGUGAUUCAGACUUGCUGUUCAGGGAAUCAUAGAGUGUUUAGAAAUGGAAAGACAUAGAAAGACUGUCAGAUCCAGUCACAAACUUUAGGGAAGAUAUAUUACCCCAUUUUAUGUAUUUAUUCAGAAUGCAUUCACCAAAUGCUGUGUGUGUUUUCUGGACUAAUUCGGGGGUUAAAAAUAUAGUCCCCUUCUUUCAUGAAGUUAAUAUCCCCAUGGGGGACCAGAGAAGCAAAAUUUCAAAUAAUUUCAUGUAGCGAUCAUUAAGUGCUAUGAAAAAAAAUGAAAUAGGCCUGUGAUAGAGAUGAAGUCGGGGAAGAUAAAUUUUAGGAGGGAACACUGGACCCAACUGUCAAGAAGGUUUUAACUACAACAGAAUAUGGAGGGAACAUCUUCCAAACUAUGGAAACAGCACAUGCAAAGGCCCCGAGGUAGAUAUAAACUUGAUGUGUUCUGAGAAGUUAAACUAGGCCAGUACAGCUGGCAAAUAUUAAUAGAAGAAGAAAGUGAUAGCAGAGGAAGUCAAAGAGGAAAGUAGACAGGGGCCAGACUGCAUGGAGUCUCAAAGGCUGGGGUGAAGUUUGGGUUGUAUUCGCAGUAAGAAGCCAUUGGAGGGUUUCAGGUAGGAGAAUGGCAUGAUUUAAUACACAUUUUUGGAACGUUCUCUCUGCCUAUUCUGCCAGGAUGGAGAGAAAGCAAUUAGGAAGCUAUUGCAACGGCCUUGGUGAGAGAAGCCAAUAGUUUGUACUGCCUUGGUGGGGGGUAGACAGAAGGGGACAAAUUCUGGAUAUUCUUUGGAGGUAGAACCAAUAGGACUUAGUAAGAGAGAAACAAGUGGAGUCCAAGGAAGCUUAAAUGACUUGCCUAAAAGGAGAGAAGGAGACAAAUAUCAAGUACUUUAAUGUUAAUCCUAAUAAUUCUGUGAAAGUUAUUAUUUUACCUACAUUUUAUAUAUUAGGGCCCUGAUGUUCAGCGAAGCUAAGUAAUUACCUCCAAAUCAAACACAGGGUCAGAUGAAGCUAGCAUUCAAACUCAGGACUCUCUGACACCAUAUUUCAUAGCCUCUUCCCACUAUAUCGCUAUACUAUACUCUGGUAUAUUGUUUUACUGCAUUGCUUCCAAAGCAGUGGUAGAGAAGGAAUUUGAACACAGACUCCUGGGGAAGUGCUCUUUCUACAUAUCUUUUUGCCCAAGUUACUGAUGCUUAAUGAGAUUUUUAAGCCCGUAUCAUGAUUUGCCAUAUACCCACCCCCACCAUGUGUCAUCAUAAAUUUAACCAUAACCAAUGGGAGGCUUCUUACUCCCAUUUCUUCUGCCCCCACCACCCCCAAGUCUGGGUCAGCUCUUCUCUAUGCAGCUUAACUACCAGAGACCUAAGCCCACUUCUCUUCCUAAGGAGCUGUAGCUGGAAAUUGCUUGUGCAACCCGCUGACAACUUAGCUAUAUUUAGCAGAAAAAGUGAUGGGAAGGAUCUGUCCAGCUCAAUUUUUUUUACAGUCUCCAUGUUCAGAAUCUCCCAGACAGUCUCCCGAAAGGCGCAUUGGCCCUGACAGUAUCUGAGUGGAAAGAAGCUUCCUCCAUCGCACCAGGUCAUCUUCUGGAAGCCUUGUUCCAAGAAAGGACACAGAUAUCCAUGGCAGAGUAAAGACAUUCUACGCUCAACACUCCCCUUUAUCCCCCAAAUGAAGAGCUUCUGGCACUUCGGGUGCUUUGAUGGCUUUUGAGUGUUAUUCUAAGGCAGGAAAACAAGCAUGAAAGGUUUAAAGGGGAAAUGGACUAUUACCUACUUGCUUAUGUGUUUAAGUGAUAUGUAGGGCACUUGGUUUUUAUUUCUUUUCAAUGUGGCAUGGAAAAGAAAUACCAAGUGCUGCUUAUGGUUUAAGAACAAAGAUACACUUGCUUUGGGUUGGGGGUGUGUGAAAAAAUUAUAGCAGGUAUUCUCAAGUGUUUCCAAUGACAAAAUUACUGUCAUGCAGGCUGACUAUCGCUUAUACUUUAAGUGACUAAUUUGAGCCUGAGACACAGUUUAACUUUGCUCGAGCCAGAUGAAACCAGAGAUCGUCUAUUGUCCGUGACUCUGACCCUCUUCACUGCUGGUCAACCAGAGAGAAUUCUCUAUUAGUGAAAAGCAGAACAAUUAAGAACUAAGAAUAGAGGAACAUAGAGACCAUUAAAGAAAAAUGGAAAAUUUUAAGACAGUCAGACAGCGCCAAUUGUAUCACAAAAAGGAAAUUUACAAGGAAAAAAAUUAUAGCCAGAGAGCACUAACUUAUAGCCCUCUACUUUUUAACAUGCAAGAUGUAUCAAUCUUUGGUUGUCAAGGAAAAAAAAAAGCUAUUGCAAAAGAAUUCUUAAUAGCUUUAGAAUAGAAAUUUUAAGAGGUAGUUUUUUAUACCUUCUUCCAGUCCCCAACCUCAUUUUGGGUUAAAUCUUAUUCAGGGGAAAAGCACUUGGUUUGGAAAUGUCCUUUCUCAUUUUCGCAAAAUCUCUUCUAAUGAGACGAGUUUUAGUGUUGCUGUGUCUAUAAAGGAAAAGAGGUGAAGAAAUAGAAAAUCCGCUAUUGUACCAUUUCACUUCUUGACACUAAAGCUUCCAAUACCCUACUUUCAAAAGUUAAUUAAC